CCGUUCAAAAGACUUGGCGUCUGCCGGUGCUGGAAGUGUUUAUAAGAGACUUCCUCAGGAAAGAAAGGUCAUCCAGGGAAAACCAGAAACAGAUUUCUUUUCUUUCUCUGGCUCACUUCCGCCAGGAAUCUCCAAAAAGCUCACUAGCACCUAAAUUGUGGAAGAAAAACCUUUAGGAGAAGAGAAAAGGAGAAGCUGUGAUGGCAUUGCAAAGACUUGGCUGGCUCCGAAGGUUCCAGACAGAGGGGCUAAAGACGUUAGCCGACAGACUCACAAGACACAAAAGGCGGCAGGAAUCAAAUAAAAGGAAAACGCAGCAGUCACAGGUACCAAGUUGAUGGGCCACGCCUGACGUACACUUAGAUAGGGCUGAUGAAACUCAGCCAACUUUGUUGUGGGCCAAAAGAACAAAGCCAGAGGCAGCUGAGUAAGUCCAAG
ensembl:lncRNA